GACGAACGCUGGCGGCGUGCCUAAUACAUGCAAGUCGAGCGAAGUUUUUCUGGUGCUUGCACUAGAAAAACUUAGCGGCGAACGGGUGAGUAACACGUAAAGAACCUGCCUCAUAGACUGGGACAACUAUUGGAAACGAUAGCUAAUACCGGAUAACAGUAUUUCUCGCAUGAGAGAUAUUUAAAAGUUGGUUAUGCUAACACUAUGAGAUGGCUCUGCGGUGCAUUAGCUAGUUGGUGGGGUAAAGGCCCACCAAGGCGACGAUGCAUAGCCGACCUGAGAGGGUGAUCGGCCACACUGGGACUGAGACACGGCCCAGACUCCUACGGGAGGCAGCAGUAGGGAAUCUUCCGCAAUGGGCGAAAGCCUGACGGAGCAACGCCGCGUGAGUGAAGAAGGAUUUCGGUUCGUAAAGCUCUGUUGUUAGGGAAGAAUGGAUAUGUAGUAACUAUACAUGUAAGAGACGGUACCUAACCAGAAAGCCACGGCUAACUACGUG
rnacentral:rRNA from 1 species